rnacentral:tRNA from 1 species
GCCGGCGUGGUGAAAUGGUAGACACGCAGGACUUAAAAUCCUGUGACCGUAAGGUCGUGUCGGUUCAAGUCCGACCGCCGGUACCA